rnacentral:rRNA from 1 species
GGACGAACGCUGGCGGCGUGCUUAACACAUGCAAGUCGAACGGAUUGCUUGGUGCUUGCACUGAGUGGUUAGUGGCGAACGGGUGAGUAACACGUGAGUAACCUGCCCCCUUCUUUGGGAUAAGCACCUGAAAGGGUGUCUAAUACUGAUUAUUCUGCUGGAAUCGCAUGGUUUUGGUUGGAAAGGUUUUUCUGGUGGGGGAUGGGCUCGCGGCUUAUCAGCUUGUUGGUGGGGUAAUGGCUUACCAAGGCUUUGACGGGUAACCGGCCUGAGAGGGUGACCGGUCACAUUGGGACUGAGAUACGGCCCAGACUCCUACGGGAGGCAGCAGUGGGGAAUAUUGCACAAUGGACGAAAGUCUGAUACAGCGACGCCGCGUGAGGGAUGAAGGCCUUCGGGUUGUAAACCUUUUUCGCUUUUGACCAAGGCAGCAUUUUGGUGUUGUUGAGGGUAUGAGGUAAAGAAGCUCCGGCUAACUACGUGCCAGCAGCCGCGGUAAUACGUAGGGAGCGAGCGUUGUCCGGAUUUAUUGGGCGUAAAGGGCUUGUAGGUGGCUUGUCGCGUCUGCCGUGAAAUUCCGCAGCUUAACUGUGGUAGUGCGGUGGGUACGGGCAGGCUUGAGUGUGGUAGGGGAGACUGGAAUUCCUGGUGUAGCGGUGGAAUGCGCAGAUAUCAGGAGGAACACCGGUGGCGAAGGCGGGUCUCUGGGCCAUUACUGACGCUGAGGAGCGAAAGCGUGGGGAGCGAACAGGAUUAGAUACCCUGGUAGUCCACGCUGUAAACGUUGGGAACUAGGUGUGGGGCCUGUCAUGGGUUCUGCGCCGGCGCUAACGCAUUAAGUUCCCCGCCUGGGGAGUACGGCCGCAAGGCUAAAACUCAAAGGAAUUGACGGGGGCCCGCACAAGCGGCGGAGCAUGCGGAUUAAUUCGAGGCAACGCGAAGAACCUUACCAAGGCUUGACAUACACCGGAAGCCGCCAGAGAUGGUGGUCUCUCUGAUACUGGUGUACAGGUGGUGCAUGGUUGUCGUCAGCUCGUGUCGUGAGAUGUUGGGUUAAGUCCCGCAACGAGCGCAACCCUUGUCGUUAAUUGCCAUCAUUUAGUUGGGCACUUUAACGAGACUGCCGGUGACAAACCGGAGGAAGGUGGGGAUGACGUCAAGUCCUCAUGGCCCUUAUGGGUAGGGCUUCACACGUCAUACAAUGGUCGGUACAGAGGGUUGCCAAGCCGCGAGGUGGAGCCAAUCCCAGAAAGCCGAUCGUAGUCCGGAUUGCAGGCUGCAACUCGCCUGCAUGAAGUCGGAAUCGCUAGUAAUCGCGGAUCAGCAUGUCGCGGUGAAUACGUUCCCGGGUCU